UGCCAUAUUAUUAAUACAAAGUUUGAGUUAUUCUGUUAGAUUCUAUUGCUUUAAUCAUUCUGUUUUUGUUAAUUUGUAUGAGAAUACUUUUGAAGUUCUAUCCACUUUGAAAUGAAUAUAUUUAAAUCAGUACAUAUAUCAUAUUUGGUUGUUUAUGUUGGGGCUGUACUUAAAUUUGGGUCCAGGUGCAACGAUUGAAGCAUCACAGGGAAAGUUGUAAUCUCUGGUUGCUGCAUGGUUGAUUGGUUUGAAUAGUAAUGUUGAUGAUAAAGAUGCUGCCUUUGUUGAGAAUCAACAGCAUAACAUUGAUGAUGUCAUCGAUCGGCUGCCACGUUUAGCAAUAGGGAUAAAUGUAAAUAUUAAGUUUAGAAGGUAGUAGCUACUUAGUCCUUUUAUCUUCGCCGGCCUUUUUUAAACUACGUUUAAUGUUGUAUUUGCAGAAUUGAUGAUUUUAAAUUCACUCCAGAAUGUGCGAUUUUUUAUUUGCUGAACAUUCGUCUAUAUCAUGGUCGGAUAGUUGACCCACAGGUUCUUAUAUACUUUCUUUCUUCUAAUUAUAACAAUGCUUAAAUUUCAUUA